rnacentral:sRNA from 1 species
AGGAAGGAGAAGUCGUAACAAGGUUUCCGUAGGUGAACCUGCGGAAGGAUCAUUGUCGAAACCUGCCCAGCAGAACGACCCGCGAACUCUUGAAAACACCAGAGGGGGCGUGCCUUGCGUGCGCUCCCCUCCCUUCCGCCUCAGGUGCUGGCUCGUCCUAGUGCCUGUUGCGGGACAACAAACCCCGGGCGCAGCGUGCGCCAAGGAAAAUGAACAAGGGAGCGCGAUCUCAGGCCCCGGACACGGUGCGCUUGGGAUGCAGUGCCUUCUCUCACAUUAUCUAUAAUGACUCUCGGCAACGGAUAUCUCGGCUCUCGCAUCGAACGCAGCGAAAUGCGAUACUUGGUGUGAAUUGCAGAAUCCCGUGAACCAUCGAGUCUUUGAACGCAAGUUGCGCCCUAAGCUGUUAGGCUGAGGGCACGUCUGCCUGGGUGUCACGCAUCGUUGCCCCACCCCAACCCCCCUAAGGGGCCUGGCGGUGUAGGCUGAGAAUGGCCUCCCGUGCGCUACCACUCGCGGUUGGCCCAAAUAUGUGUCCUAGGCGACGAAAGCCACGACAUUCGGUGGUGCAAGCAUGCCUCUCGAGAUCAUGUCGUGUGCCUACGUCUCCGUUUAGGGACGGAAGGACCCUGAUGCUCUGCGCAAGCGGAGCUCGCAUCGCGACCCCAGGUCAGGCGGGAUUACCCGCUGAGUUUAAGC